UUAUUAGGAGUGUGGUUUUUUUUUUUCUGGGUUUUGUUUGAUUUGACCUGAUUUUUGCUUUCAGUCUUUAUUGAUUCUACUGGCAAAUUUUUGUUCAGGUGCAGGAAUCUAACUUUGUUUUCUUAACAAUUACAACAUCCGAGCCUUAACCCCAAACUAGUUGCUUUUUCUGUGCCUGAUGAUUAACUGGCUUGAUCUGUUGUUGAUUUCAAUCUGGACCCUAUUCGUUGUUCAUUGAUAUUAUUAUUACUACUUAUUAUACUUAGUUUCUUUAAUUUAAAAUAUCAGUUGGAGUUGCUUGUUGAGCUUGAGCAUGAUAUGAUCUGUGUUUGCUUGUUCGAAGAUUUAAUUCCUUUGUAAUUUCUGGGAAAUUCUACGCGUAGAAUGUAUUUCUUAUGUUCAUGUUUAUUUGUCAAUUUUAUUAACUUUCAUUUGAGAAACCAUGUCAAAA
rnacentral:misc_RNA from 1 species